AAGGACGUCGAGCAGGAAGCUCAAAAGCAACAACAGGGACACGUAGGAUUCCGCCAGGACGGUGGAGUGAAAUGGAUGUCAGGGAAACAGUCUGCAAAGCCCCGCUUCGGCGGGGUUUU
rnacentral:sRNA from 1 species